rnacentral:rRNA from 1 species
AUACGUAGGGUGCAAGCGUUAAUCGGAAUUACUGGGCGUAAAGCGUGCGCAGGCGGUUUUGUAAGACAGAGGUGAAAUCCCCGGGCUCAACCUGGGCACUGCCUUUGUGACUGCAAGGCUAGAGGACGGCAGAGGGGGGUGGAAUUCCGUGUGUAGCAGUGAAAUGCGUAGAUAUGCGGAGGAACACCGAUGGCGAAGGCAAUCCCCUGGGCCUGUACUGACGCUCAUGCACGAAAGCGUGGGGAGCAAACAGGAUUAGAUACCCUGGUAGUCCACGCCCUAAACGAUGUCAACUGGUUGUUGGGUCUUCAUUGACUCAGUAACGAAGCUAACGCGUGAAGUUGACCGCCUGGGGAGUACGGCCGCAAGGUUGAAACUCAAAUGAAUUGACGGGG